UACGUAGGGGGCAAGCGUUGUCCGGAAUUAUUGGGCGUAAAGAGCGUGUAGGCGGUCCGGUAAGUCGAGUGUGAAAGCCCCCGGCUCAACUGGGGAGGGUCACUUGAUACUGAUCGACUCGAAGGCAGGAGAGGGAAGCGGAAUUCCCGGUGUAGUGGUGAAAUGCGUAGAUAUCGGGAGGAACACCAGUGGCGAAGGCGGCUUCCUGGCCUGUUCUUGACGCUGAGGCGCGAAAGCUAGGGGAGCAAACGGG
rnacentral:rRNA from 1 species